rnacentral:misc_RNA from 1 species
GAAAUGCGAUAAGUAGUGUGAAUUGCAGAAUUCAGUGAAUCAUCGAAUCUUUGAACGCACAUUGCGCCCUUUGGCAUUCCGAAGGGCAUACCUGUUCGAGCGUCAUUACACAUCUCAAGCUUCGGCUUGGUGUUGGGUGUUUGUCCCCCCGGGGACUCGCCUCAAAAGCAUCGGCGUUGGCGUGUUCGGCCUUGAGCGUAGCAUACUUUGCGCACAAGAGGCCCGGCGCGACGGCGGCCGCAACCCCAGGCACUGCGUGCCUUUUUGUUUGACCUCGGAUCAGGUAGGGAUACCCGCUGAACUUAA